rnacentral:lncRNA from 1 species
AUGAUGAUGAUGUGGAUGACUUUACGAAGAUCAAAAGAUUUCAAGAUGCAACUGGUGGAAGAGUUUCAAACUCUGACAGUUUAAAACAGUCUAAGCAAAGCUCAAAGUCUGCUCUAGAUCCAACUCAUAAUGUCACAUCUGGAUCAAAACAAAGACCAGUGGCUGGAUGAUAAGUGGUAUUUAUACACACUUAUAGGCCUUCAUUUCCACUUAAAUUGGUUGAUUGUACUUAAGUGUUUAGUGUCUUUUGAUGUGUUUUUAUUGUUUUUCUGUGCAGGUCACGAGUUGAGGUGAUGAAGUGAUUUUCUAUCAUUUUAGGUUGGUUUUGGUGCAUUAUUUGCAAG